UUGGAGGGCAAGUCUGGUGCCAGCAGCCGCGGUAAUUCCAGCUCCAAUAGCGUAUAUUAAAGUUGUUGCAGUUAAAAAGCUCGUAGUUGAAUUUCGGAAUCAAUAUGUUGGUCGUGCCAUUGGUACGUACUGGCAUUAUUGGUUUCUACCUUCUGAAGAACCUCGAUGUCAUUAAUUUGGUGUCUUGGGGAAUCAGGACUGUUACUUUGAAAAAAUUAGAGUGUUUAAAGCAGGCUCGCGCUUGAAUACAUUAGCAUGGAAUAAUGAAAUAGGACGUUUGAUUCUAUUUUGUUGGUUUCUAGGAUCGACGUAAUGAUUAAUAGGGAUAGUUGGGGGCAUUAGUAUUCAAUUGUCAGAGGUGAAAUUCUUGGAUUUAUUGAAGACUAACUACUGCGAAAGCAUUUGCCAAGGAUGUUUUCGUUAAUCAAGAACGAAAGUUAGGGGAUCGAAGACGAUCAGAUACCGUCGUAGUCUUAACCAUAAACUAUGCCGACUAGGGAUCGGAUGAUGUUAAUUUUUUAAUGACUCAUUCGGCACCUUACGGGAAAC
rnacentral:rRNA from 1 species